rnacentral:tRNA from 1 species
GGAGCCAUAGCUCAGCUGGGAGAGCACUAGACUGAAGAUCUAGGUGUCGUGGGUUCAAAUCCCACUGGCUCCA